GGAAAACAGACGUAUGAUCUUCCAUUAAAGCUUCAUUGAUGUUGCUAGUUAAUGACACACAAAUGCAACGCCUAAUCAUGCAUAGUUUCUUUACAAGUUCCAAAUAAACCUCAACCUCUCCUAAAUACUUACAAUAACACCACCAAAAUUUGAUAAAAUGAAAAGCAGAUCAUUUAAAAUUUCCAGCAAACGCUACCAAACAUCUCUCCAGCCAAGAAAGGAGGAAAAGACCAUUUUCCAUGGAACCACCAAGGCAGCAACUCCCUCACAUUGGCUCCACUGGUAAUUAAUACCAGUCAUUGAAAAGAAAGCAACAAAAGGGUCUGCAUUCAGAAACCUUACUGAUUGAACUCCCCAAAUAGACACUAACCAAGCAUUAGAAUUUCUAAAAAAAUUAUAAAAUUACUAUAAUUGUUUGUUUGCUUAUCUACUUGGUGAUAAGCAUGUAUGAACAUUCUGGGUUAGGCCCAUCAGUCAAGCAUGGAAUAACUUAGAAAAAAGAGCACCAUCUCCGACUUCUAUUACCCCUUUGGUUGGGCAUGGAAGAGCCAAGAACUUGAAUUUGAUGAAGCCCAGUCUCAGGAGAGUUACAAUGACGAGUUGGCACUCUUCUUUGAGGAUUUCCUAGCCACAAUACAAGGAC
rnacentral:misc_RNA from 1 species